CAGCCGCCACGGUAACACGUAGGGUGCGAGCGUUAAUCGGAAUUACUGGGCGUAAAGCGUGCGCAGGCGGUUGUGUAAGACAGGUGUGAAAUCCCCGGGCUUAACCUAGGAACUGCGCUUGUGACUGCACAGCUAGAGUAUGGCAGAGGAGGGUGGAAUUCCACGUGUAGCAGUGAAAUGCGUAGAGAUGUGGAGGAACACCGAUGGCGAAGGCAGCCCCCUGGGCCAAUACUGACGCUCAUGCACGAAAGCGUGGGGAGCAAACAGGAUUAGAUACCCCUGUAGUCCCUGUCUCUUAUAC
rnacentral:rRNA from 1 species